UUAUCCGGAUUUAUUGGGUUUAAAGGGAGCGUAGGCGGACGUUUAAGUCAGUUGUGAAAGUUUGCGGCUCAACCGUAAAAUUGCAGUUGAUACUGGGUGUCUUGAGUACAGUAGAGGCAGGCGGAAUUCGUGGUGUAGCGGUGAAAUGCUUAGAUAUCACGAAGAACUCCGAUUGCGAAGGCAGCUUGCUGGACUGUAACUGACGCUGAUGCUCGAAAGUGUGGGUAUCAAACAGGAUUAGAUACCCUGGUAGCCCACACAGUAAACGAUGAAUACUCGCUGUUUGCGAUAUACAGUAAGCGGCCAAGCGAAAGCGUUAAGUAUUCCACCUGGGGAGUACGCCGGCAACGGUGAAACUCAAAGGAAUUGACGGGGGCCCGCACAAGCGGAGGAACAUGUGGUUUAAUUC
rnacentral:rRNA from 1 species